UUCGCGGACGCGAGCGUACUGCGACAAAGACUAACCAUCGAUCUUCUUGACGUUGUUAUGCUUGCAGCUUGCACAUCGGGACAUUCAUCGUGUUUUGUUUUGUUGUAGCCUCACCCACAUCCCUUCCCAACGCCACCCGUUCAUGUUCCUACGUACGCGUCCUCGUCUUCUUCGCUCUCCUCGGGCUCUCGAUUUCCCUACGCGGCGUCCCCGUUCCUCGACCAACCGGAAUUUCUCGAGGGUUCGCGGUUUAUUGUUUCCCGCGACAUUCCCUCGUUUAUUCCUCACACUUCUCCCAUCUCGCGUCCGCGUCUCCUCCGCCCUCUAUUUCUACUUCUACUUCUUCAUCGUCGUCGUCGUCGUCGUCGUCGUCGCCGCCGUCUCGCGUCGAACUUGCGACGAUCGUCCGGCCACGCCAUCGAUUCCCAAAGGAGAGCCCCAGGAGAUGAAGCGAUUCACCGACCAACGUCAUUUACGCGAGUCCUGCAUCCUGGACCGUCUACCGACCAACGACGCCAAGUAGCUCGCACGAACUAUCGCCGAGGAGCAUGCAUUCCCGACUGAACUAGACCGAACGAUGCCCGGAGCCUAGGACCUAGCGAUCGGCACCCGCGAUCACUCGGAUCGUUCUCAGCAGAAUCAUCGUCGUCGAGCGAGUCGACGGGAUAUUAAGCGAGCUGCGAGCAAGAACGAAGGAGAUCUGGCCGAGCACAAGCCAUCGACCGAAAACAACGUGUUCGCAGACGGGAAAGGGUCGCCGCGGUUGAAUUCGACGUUCGAAAACACCAAGAAAAAAAAAAGAACCACCCUCUUUGCGUCCCCGCUUCGAUUUCUCUCGCCAAAGGCUCGGAAAACACGGCACAAACGUAACCGCGCGUGCACGAGGAAAAAUAUCCUCGCGGCGCCACAGCUUUUCCAGGCUGCGAGCUUCAGAGACUUCAAUUUGCCGCCCGAAGGGCUCGGCCGGAUCAUUCGAGCCGGCCGGAAAUUAAAACGACCGUCGAGACUCGAUCAUCUCUUUCUCGAGGAAGCGGCUGGUGGUUUCCCCGGCGACAAUCAUGGUCUCCGUUGACGGACGGACUUUCAUUUUUGUUUCUAAAUCCGGGACGAGGCAGGAGAAAGUCGAAGGGCGAUGGAGAGAGGCUGGGGAGAGGGUGAAGGGUCGUAAACCUUCUGAGUGAGCACGUGCGGAUCGUUACACAGAGCCACGUGGACGCGACGAUUUCGUUUUACGGGAUCGCGGAAAGAAGGACUCGUCGUCCGGACGAUCUCGGAUCUUGUAAUAGGAUUUCCGGGAUCAACGAGUCCUCCCUACGUUGCGGCCGGCGUCUUCGAGGCGGAGACGUAAUUGCAAGAGCCGGCGUAGAUUCGGACAAUUCCGGAAGGUUUUCAUUGUCCCCGUAUAACGGGGCUGCAAUCUCGUUCCGCUGUUUCCCGGCAGCCCUUGUAUCGAGCCAGACGAGCGAGACGAACCUCUAGUGCUCUAGUCGUUAUUCAUUCCCGGCCUCGGUCACAAAAAAGAACGAUACCCCUGCCACUCGAUCGGAAACAUUCCAUCGUAUCGGCUGAUAUUUGCAAGAGAGAACUGCGCGCGGCUCGAAUCAAUUAAGUGUCGGCUGCCUCGGAGAUCCGGCUGAUGGUUUAAAUCGCAAACAAAUCCGCAGAGGAAGGUGCUCCUCGGUUUCGCAGCGACAGUUCGUCGAAGCGUGCGUUCAGACGCGUCCAGGACGCUCUUGUACAAAGUAUUCCUUGUAUCCCCCGGUGCGGCGCGUGUGCACCGACUGCCGAUCGAUCGAGACGUCGAAUGCGAGCUUUUCCACACCUCAGAACCAGCCCAGUUUCGUUGGACGCUGGCCGGCAGAAUUCCGAGCUAAUUUUUUCAGUCGGCGACGCGUUGAUCGCGUUCGGAGAACGUCGAAACAAUUAUUGACUUAUCCCUGGUUGACAAUCGAGAGAUAAUUCGAAUUAUUUAAUAUUUUCUUUCGUAGAGAGCAACGUUUGCUCUCUUCGAUUGAAUAUCAUCGACGAGAUUCAACAUCAUGAAUUAACCCUUUGCGGUCGAAACAGUUCCCUCACUUUCAUUUCAAAGAUUGCUGUAACAUUCAUUCGUACUCCCACACGCGACUUCAUAACCUAAUCGGAACAAUUGAAAAAUACAAUUGUUCUUACAUACCGUGUAACUAUGGCAUUGAUCAUGUACAUCGUCGAAAUCAUAGGAUCGCAAAGGGUUGAAGCGCCGAUUAAGGGACGAUACGAUUAUUUCCAGCGUUAAAAGCGAACCUUUCCGUUGACGAGUAUGUAGUUUGUGAAAAACGCAGAACAAUUCGCGGAUUCGCGUCGACGUCGAUCGGCGAGCGCACGCGCCCCUACUUUUUACAUUUCUAGAGGUAUGAAAACAAUUAUACCGUAUAGAUAGAUUGCCGUACGAACGAGCGAGCAGAGUGUUCCCAACAACUGGGAAAAAUAAGCGAGAGAGAAAGAGAGAGAGGGAGGGAGAGAGAAAGAGGGAGAGAAAGAGAGAGAGAGAGAGAGAGAGAGGGAAGAGAGGAAGUACUUUCGCCACUCUAGCGACACACCAAAGACUUUUUCAGAGACGAGAUGAAUAUAUCAUGGUAGCGUAUGAUGUCCGUGCAAGCUUACUAGUGCCGCCGUGCUUUUCCGUUACGAGUUCAUUUCACGUCGCUCGUACCCACCGAACGAUUUGUAUGAAAGUCAUCGUAAGUCAUCGACGGCCCCGCGUUCCGCCCGGUGCGUCCUCCCGGGACAACGCUAACAUAGUUUCUAUAACGUCUGUCUGAUCUUUCGCGGGGUGACGAUGAUUCGCGAGCACGGGGACGAGGGCUGGAGAGAGCUCUCGGUUAACGUUCCUGCUAAAAAACACAAAACAAAGUAACAAAGAAAGAGUACGAGAGGAGAGAAGAGAAAGCGUCGAUUCGGAGGAUCGAGGGAGCCCCGGUGCGCCGAGCGGAUCGCGGGGCCCAGUCAUAGCGAAGAAAAGAGGAAUGUAUUUUAUGAUAUUUUACGCAUAAAAGAACAAAACGUAAAUCGAAGUAUAGCGAUUAGUCCAAGGUAAACUUAAGUAGAGGUGUAUAAAGAACGAGGACACGAGGUGCGUCGCGUCGCACGGUCCACAAAGGGGUUCAGACGAGACAUCUCGACGCGAACCGGGCCCUUGAACGACGAUCGUAACCGAAUGUUGAUUAAUAGUUAAAUUCACCGAUCGACGGUCGUCGGUCGCGAUCCUGUGACGAGGAUCGCACGAGGGAACGCGACCAAUCUCUCGAUGAUCAAUGAUCGAUGAACACCACCGAGCUGCGAGAAUGUCGCCCUGACACGAAUGAAGGAAACCACUACGCGCUACUGUAAAAUAUUGUAUAUUGUUUCGCGUUAUUUAUUUUUCAUUGUUUUUACUAGGAGACGCGUUUUUACGGUACUCAAGAGAAUUAUCGCGUAAUGUUAUAGCGACACGACACUCGUUCUGGUCCGCGGUGCUGUGCCUAGUCAUUGUGACGAACGAACCAGAGACUAUCCGCUUUUCUUUUCACCGGAGCCGCGAUCACGCUGAGCCAACGAACCCCAAAUGUCCACAGAAAUAUCCACAGAAAUCGGAAACGACGUUCGCAACCCGUGAAUUCCGUAGAAAGACCAAUCUGCUAGACCAGUGCUCGCCAAAGUGUGCCACACUACCCUUUGAUCGAUUUUAUUUCUGCGAUCUGCGUAUCUUAAGAAAAUCCAAUCUGCCGCAAAUUCUGUUCCGAUUAAAUGAAAAUUAAAUGUGUACAGGUUGCAGCAAGAUUGGUUUCCAUUAUUCGUUUGAGGAAAUUCCACCUGGGAGAUGAAAAACCACCGAAAUCAGGAAUGGCGUCGGUUCUGUAUAUACGUCUACAAUUUUGCUUCGCGAGAUCGGAAAGACUGAAACGAUAGAUCAGCUAAAUCUUGAAAUGGUUACGUUAAGCAAUGUAGAGGGGGGUAAGGGUAAAUUGUGGAAUGGGUGCGAAAUGGUAGCAAGUUUGGCGAGCACUGAAAUAAACCAGCCGACAAUUAGCAACCCCCAAAGCGUCACGAAGACAGUUCACGGCGGACCAGUCGGUUUAGUAAUGUUUAUAAACUUCAACGUAUUUCCAGCAGCUUUUGCAGUGUGUAAACUAACCAGGAGAGAACCGAAGCGAAUCUAAAUAGUCUAGGUGAGAUUCCGGAGCGUUCAAGCUUGCGUACAGUGUUUAAACGAUUAAUCACGGACGUGCCGUCCGCCCUCGGCAAUUUGAAUCGCGACCGAUAAAAAGGGAGAGGGAGAAAGAGAGAGAGAGAGAGAGACGAUUUCUCGAGUGAUCGAACGAUUGUCAGAAAGUAAAACGGAGGAGGAGGGGGAGAAAAAAAGGCCGGGACAGAGCCGUUUCGAUUUUGUACGAUGCGUGAGAGCUAACGACCGCGUUCCAACGAUAGUCUAAUAGCGAAAACGAAAGUGCACUAUGGACCGUAAAGGCUAAACUCUAGCAGCACGAAGUACGUUAACGAAGUUAAUAGCGAAAAUUGUUGUAAGGGAAAACGAACGCUGCAAGUAUUAAACGAAAGCAUAAGCCGCUGUUGAUGUUUCCUAAUGAAAAUGAAAAAAAAAGCUAAUAAAAAAUACAAGUGGAACGAGAAGUGGUCCGACUCGGUGAGGACUUCCCCUGUGCAAUAGGCACACCCCGGGGAAAACGGUUUUACGACCAGUACCAAUUUAUUCGACAUCCUCGAAAGAGAAAAAGGAUGGUGGAGAAACAUAGUUUAACGCGAGAGACACGCGAGAUUUCUAUUGAAUUUCCAUAUUUCGAGUCGCGAGAGAACUCGAAUCGCAGCCGAGUUCACUUCUAUACUAAACGAGAGACGACGCCUGGUCGUCCACGUGUACGUGCUACCGAGGAUUUAGUUUCGAUCCUGCGUUCAUGAUCGGAUUAUAACGUUUGUUUCGUGAAUUCGUGUCGUGUGUACAUCGAAAUGGGAAUGAUGUUCAACAGGUUUUCGGAGCAACGGUACACGCGAUCUAAACAUUUAUGUAAUGCUGACGACGUUACUUGCGAUUUGGUAUGUGACGAAUGUGAGACACGAGGAAUAUUUUAUUCUAGUCGUAUCUUUCAUGCUUUGCCAAGUAAAAUAAUAUAAUUCCUGUGUUAAGUGUAAUAGUCAAUUAUGUUUUAAUAAAAUCUGCCAAGAUUCUUGUCAA